AACGAACGCUGGCGGCGUGGAUUAGGCAUGCAAGUCGAACGCGAAAGAGGGGGUAACUCCUCGAGUAGAGUGGCGAACGGGUGAGUAACACGUGAGAAACCUGCCUUCAGCAGGGGGAUAACACUCCCAACGGGGUGCUAAUACCGCAUGAGACCACGGAUUCGCAUGGAUCUGGGGUCAAAGGUGGCCUCUGCUUGCAAGCUACCGGCUGAAGAUGGUCUCGCGCCCAUUAGCUAGUUGGUGGGGUAAGUGCCCACCAAGGCGACGAUGGGGUAGCUGGUCUGAGAGGAUGGUCAGCCACACUGGGAC
rnacentral:rRNA from 1 species